UGGAUAUCAGAAUCAAGCAAUUCUCUCUCUGGGGACUCGGUAGCCAAGAUGUCUGUGUUUGCUCAUUCCCUCUGUACCCUGAAAUGACCACCUUCUUAGUUCUCCCUUCUGAACACUGGGUGGACUACGAGGGUCAGGCACAGGCCGGUCCUGCUCACUGUCCUCUCCUGAGGGAAAGUGUGAUGGCUUCAGCUCCUGAUGAGCCUCCUCAGGCUGUUCCCUGAGCAGUGGUGGCCAGUGACCCCUUGGGCGGGGGGGGUGCCUGGCUUGGAGAGCUGUGCCUUAGUGAGCUCAGAAAUGUAGUAGAAUCAACUUGCUAGGGGAGGGUUGGAGAAGAAAAAGAGAGAUGGCUGAGAAGAGGCAGAACAUGAGGGGAGCUGAAUGACUUCAGUGGCAAAGCCCUGGAGAAGGGGCUCACAAAGGCCUACUGCCUAGGGGUCUACCAGAUGGCCUGUUUCCUAGAGCUGCCUUGGAUUUCCAAUGACCUUCCAGUUCCAUGCCUGCAAGGCCUCCCUCUCCUGGCAUUCCUGCUCUUCUCAGGAGGCUCAGGCAGUGGUCUUAUUGGUAUUUGGAGUGGGCCCUUCGGAGGCAUCCUGGACAGUGGGGGAGUCGCAAAGUCGUGCCAUGAGGAAGACUUGAGAGAACUAGCAUUCUCAGGAGAGAGGUCUGGGGGCUUGCAAGACUGCCAUGAAGAAGCACACUUGCUCCCAGUGUCGCAUGGGACGGGGAAGAAGCCACAGGGAAAAUAUUCUGGCUUAGUGUAAAGAGCUUUAUGGGAGCUGUAUGACCAUGGAACUGCCUUCUUUGCCUGGUUGUGAUUUCUGUAUCCCUGGAAUAUACAAGCAGAAGCUGUCAGACUCCUGCACUGUGCCUUCAAGAUCUGUUUGAUUCUGUUCCUAACACUUUACUGGGAGUUGAUUAAUGUUCUCCUCCCAAGAAGACUUCUCUUGGGGGAAGGCACCUGAAGGAAGACAUUUUUGAAGGUGAAAUCUCAGGAACAGUGACAUGAGUGUGGGGAGGUGUUUUUGGCUGUUGCCCCUCAAAUGAUACCGUAGCUGGUAAACAAGACCAGCCAUGAUCCAUUCUACCACAUGGAAAUGCCUUUCCCAUCAAUAUCCGCAC
rnacentral:lncRNA from 1 species